AAAAUAAAAUUUCUGCGAUCUGAUCGCGGAGACGAAUAUUUGAGUUACGAGUUUGGUCUUCAAUUAAAACAAUGUGGAAUAGUUUCACAGCUCACGCCACCUGGAAAACCACAAUGUUAUGGUGUGUCUGAACAUCGUAACCGCACUUUAUUGGAUAUAGUGCGAUCUAUGAUGUCUCUUACUGAUUUACCACUAUUGUUUUUGGGUUAUGCAUUAGAGAUAGCUGCAUUCACGUUAAAAGGGCACCAUCUAAAUCCGUUGAGACGACACCAUAUGAACUGUGGUUUAGCAAGAAACCCA
rnacentral:rRNA from 1 species